AUUGCGUUAGGGAUUGCAGUGUAAAUCCUUUUGUUUUUUUCUUUAAAAAACAAAAGAUUGAAACGAAAAGCCCGACCCUUG
rnacentral:sRNA from 1 species